AAGUGACGAAAAUAAAAUAACAGGACUAGAUGAAGCCUAAGUGACGAAAAUAAAAUAACUGGACUGGAUGAAGCCUAAGUAACGAAAACAAAAUAACAGGACUAGAUGAAACCUAAGUGACGAAAACAAAAUAACGGGACUGGAUGAAGCCUAAGUGAUG